UGAAAAUUAAAAUAAAAAACAGUCAUUGACACUUUUGCCUGUCUGGGUGUGUAAUGUGCAGCAAUCAUGGCCAGCCAUCUGGAACUCAGCAACGGCACCAAACUGACCACUCUGGGCCUGGGCACCUGGAAGUCCCCUCCUGGCCAGGUGGUGGAGGCUAUGAAGGUUGCUAUUGAUAUGGGAUGUCGCCACAUUGACUGCACCCAGGUAUUUCAGAAUGAGAAAGAGGUGGGAGUGGCCUUCCAGGAGAAGCUCCAGGAUCUCUUCAUUGUCAGCAAGCUGUAGAGCAUGGUGAAAGGAGCCUGGCAGAAGACACUCAGCAACCUGCAGCUAGACUGCCUGCAUCUCUACCUUAUUCACUGGCCAAGGGGCUUCAAACCUGGGCCCGAUUAUUUCCCACUGGAUGCAUCAGGAAACAUGAUUCCUAGAGACACCGACUUUGUGGACACUUGGAAGGCUAUGGAACAACUAGUGGAUGAAGCAAUUGUUGUCUCCAACUUCAGCCCUUUUCAGAUUGAGAGGAUCUUGAACAAACCUGGGUUAAGAUAUAAACCUGCUGUUAGCCAGAUUGAGUGCCACUCAUACCUAACUCAGGAGAAGCUGACUGAGUACUGCCAUUGCAAAGGCAUCGUGGUGACUGCAUACAGUCCCCUUGGUUCUCCUGACAGGCCCCGGGCCAAGCCUGAAGACCCUUCUCUCCUGGAGGAUCCCAGGAUCAAGGCAAUCGCGGUCAAGUACAAUAAAGCGACAGCCCAGGUGCUGAUCCAGUUUCUUAUUCAGAGGAACUUGGUAGUGAUCCCCAAGGCUGCGACACCAGAGUGCAUUGCUGAGAACUUUGAGGUCUUUGACUUCGAGCUAAGCAGCAAGGACGUGACCACUCUACUCAGCUACAACAGGAACUGAAGGGUGUGCACCAUGAUGAGCUGUGCGAACCACAAGGAUGACCCCUUCCACACACAAGGCUGAAGCUGCGGUGGUCCAUCCCUGU